rnacentral:rRNA from 1 species
CCUACGGGUGGCAGCAGUGGGGGAUAUUGCACAAUGGGGGAAACCCUGAUGCAGCGACGCCGCGUGUGUGAAGACGGUCCUCUGGAUUGUAAACCACUGUCCCCAGGGACGACGAUGACGGUACCUGGGGAGGCAGCUCCGGCUAACUAGGUGCCCGCAGCCGCGGUAAUACGUAGGGAGCACGAGUUGUCCGGAAUUACUGGGUGUAAAGGUAGCGUAGGCGGGAUGGCAAGUUGGGUGUUAAAUCUACCGGCUCAACUGGUAGUCGCACUCAAAACUGCUAUUCUUGAGUGAAGUAGAGGCAGGCGGAAUUCCUAGUGUAGCGGUGAAAUGCGUAGAUAUUAGGAGGAACACCAGUGGCGAAGGCGGCCUGCUGGGCUUUUACUGACGCUGAGGCUCGAAAGUGUGGGGAGCAAACAGGAUUAGAUACCCGUGUAGUC